GACGAACGCUGGCGGCGUGCCUAAUACAUGCAAGUCGAACGCAUUUUCUUUCACCGUAGCUUGCUACACCGAAAGAAAAUGAGUGGCGAACGGGUGAGUAACACGUGGGUAACCUGCCCAUCAGCGGGGGAUAACACUUGGAAACAGGUGCUAAUACCGCAUAAUUCCAUUUACCGCAUGGUAGAUGGGUGAAAGGCGCUUUUGCGUCACUGAUGGAUGGACCCGCGGUGCAUUAGCUAGUUGGUGGGGUAACGGCCUACCAAGGCUGCGAUGCAUAGCCGACCUGAGAGGGUGAUCGGCCACACUGGGACUGAGACACGGCCCAGACUCCUACGGGAGGCAGCAGUAGGGAAUCUUCGGCAAUGGACGCAAGUCUGACCGAGCAACGCCGCGUGAGUGAAGAAGGUUUUCGGAUCGUAAAACUCUGUUGUUAGAGAAGAACAAGGAUGAGAGUGGAAAGUUCAUCCCUGGACGGUAUCGAACCAGAAAGCCACGGCUAACUACGU
rnacentral:rRNA from 1 species